GAUGAACGCUGGCGGCGUGCCUAAUACAUGCAAGUCGAGCGAACGGACGAGAAGCUUGCUUCUCUGAUGUUAGCGGCGGACGGGUGAGUAACACGUGGAUAACCUACCUAUAAGACUGGGAUAACUUCGGGAAACCGGAGCUAAUACCGGAUAAUAUUUUGAACCGCAUGGUUCAAAAGUGAAAGACGGUCUUGCUGUCACUUAUAGAUGGAUCCGCGCUGCAUUAGCUAGUUGGUAAGGUAACGGCUUACCAAGGCAACGAUGCAUAGCCGACCUGAGAGGGUGAUCGGCCACACUGGAACUGAGACACGGUCCAGACUCCUACGGGAGGCAGCAGUAGGGAAUCUUCCGCAAAGGGCGAAAGCCUGACAGAGCAACGCCGCGUGAGUGAUGAAGGUCUUCGGAUCGUAAAACUCUGUUAUUAGGGAAGAACAUAUGUGUAAGUAACUGUGCACAUCUUGACGGUACCUAAUCAGAAAGCCACGGCUAACUACGUG
rnacentral:rRNA from 1 species